UACGUAGGGUGCAGUCGUUAAUCGGAAUUACUGGGCGUAAAGCGUGCGCAGGCGGUCUUUUAAGUCAGAUGUGAAAUCCCCGGGCUUAACCUGGGAACUGCGUUUGAAACUGGAAGGCUAGAGUGUGGCAGAGGGGGGUGGAAUUCCACGUGUAGCAGUGAAAUGCGUAGAGAUGUGGAGGAACACCAGUGGCGAAGGCGACUCUUUGGUCUGUAACUGACGCUGAGGCGCGAAAGCGUGGGGAGCAAACAGG
rnacentral:rRNA from 1 species